rnacentral:lncRNA from 1 species
GCUGUGUUGGUUAGUCGUCUUUGUUGGAAGCAAAAGCCAUGAUGUAGACAUCCUUUGAUGUCGGCGUUAGUCGGAGGCCUGGUCCCCCUUUUACCUCAAGGCGCUCGCCAGGUAAACUGUCGGGAGUCGUGUGCCGGGUUGACAGGACACAGCAAGAGGCGGGCUCGCGCUGACUGCUCUCCCCUUUGUGACUCUUAUAUUCCGGAGUCGAGAGUGGCCCUCAUUUUACGCUUGCUCCUCUCGCCACGCCGCUAAUUUGGAACACCUCGCCUGGAAUCGCAUGCAGGAUGAGGCAUGGAAGUUGGAAUGGGAUGAUGGAAAGAAGAAGGACCAAGAGAUACGCAGGUUAUUAUGACGCAGAAUCAGUGGUCGCCUUCAGACGCCAGAGGGUGACCUGCCUUGGCCCGACAUGCGAAGUCACGGCGUCUGUUGUAAACCGAGGACUCCGAGCACAGACCACAUGGCCAUGGGCUCUGCUUUGACUGGUCAGUCAGCGGAAGGAAGACUAAAGACGAAGAUACUAAAAGGCUGUAUCUGGAAAGUGUAUAUAAAAACAGGGGGAAAACAUGGCUCUUGCUGUCUUACCCUGUCACUUUGGGAGAGACAGAGAUGUCGCGACGUUAGUCACACACGUUGAGGAGGUCCGAGAGAGACGCCUCUCCCGGUUGGACAGGUCGAGCAGUACCCCGAUAUUUUGCGUGGUGGAUAUCUUGGGAACUAAUCCCGGUGCCGGAGCGCCCCAGUAUGCGAGCUUCAAGGCUAGUAGUUCGUGCAAUCAACCGAACGACUGCUCGGGAUUUCUGGUGCCAUGCAAGUCCCUUGGCAGAACAUACACUGACUCAUCCACCCCCGCACUCACCCGAUUAUUAGUCAGUCUGCAUGCUGUUCCUCGCUGACCUUACAGCUGGGACCGCUCGCAUUGUUAUAAGUGGUUAUUAAAAGUUGUUGCUCCCACAUUUGAUUUACCCGUAUGUAUGCAUUUACGUAUAUGUUAGAGACGACACAGUGUUACAUGGAUACACAUGAGAAAGAGGCUUUAAACUCAAUCACCGAUGCUGUUGAGAGCAGGGGUGGGAAAACUACGUCCCGCGGCUGCCUUCAAAGGAAAGACUGGUUUUAACGUUUUAUUGUGGGUUUUUGUGUUUUGCUUGAGAUGCCUUUACCUUUAUGCUUAUGCAUAAUAGCUUCGUUUUUUUUAUCCAUCUUUUCUUUUUCCAUUUUCUGUUGUUACUCACAAAUUGAGACAUCAUGUCUCUGGCCAAUGGACAAAGGGCACUGCACUGUCCGUAAGAAUAAGGCGACGAUGGCACCUCCCUGAAAGUACAGGAAAAAUAAAUAGUAAAUUAAAAGCAUGGAGGCGCGUCGACAUUAUGCAAAUUCCCAAUUAAAAACCGUUACAGAAGUGACACUGUCAUUUCAUCAUCUGAAGCCAAAGCACGCGCUAAUAAUUUCGAUUCCACCCUAAACGCGGUCAAACGAAAGACCUUGCAAUCGUUAUAAAUUAAUGAAACUGGGAUUUUACAUACUGGGGAAAAAAAGGGGAGAAAUAAGGGGGGAGAACGAGAGGACGAAUUUUAAUAUUAAUCUGACACCAAGUCAUUCAGUCCCUGUAUAUGCUCCGCGCGUUGCAUGACGAAAGACGUUUCUGGAAGAGGGUCAAAGGUCUCGCGGUCAGAAGGCUGAAGGUCGUAAAUCGGGAGAGAUGUCUUUGUUCAUGUGUAUACAGUAUGAACAGCAAAGGACUGAUACUCCUAAGCAGAUGCACUGAACAUAGCCUAUGCAUCACUGACACAAUGUUCUGUCUCCCACACGAAAACACCUGGAUGCACCCCAGACCUGCCUCUUACGUUUCCAAAACGCUUUAGAGGGGAAAUUUCCCAAAGAAACAUAUCUCACCCAUCUCAAAGACAUGGAUCAAGUUCAGACAAAUGGAUGCAGUUCAAAGAUACAGUCACUGCCAUCGGGAAGGAAAAACACGGUUUAGUCCCGAAUGUCAGCAGGUAGGCGGCUUUGACAAUCUCCCCAUCGCAGAUCGUAGUUGGCGCUUGCUUGGCAAUGGGCAAACCAAAGUUACAAGCUCUUACCAAGCUUGGACGAAUCUUGCGUGCUUUGCUGGGUACAAACAGGUCUCUAUACAAAAGGCACAUCGCACAGGUUUGGUGCCACAAGUUCUUUUUGAGCAUCAGUUCACAGAAGCGGAUACCGAGCACUUUCGCAAGACAAAUUCCAGAGAUAAUUGUGUAUCAUUUGGAAAUGAAAGAGCACUUAAAUUGUUAACUCUCAGAUCUACCUUGUUUAUCAGUCUUUUAGAAGCAUGUUAUACUUCCAUAUAGAUAACGCUUUUAAUUGUUGUUAUUCCAGUGAUUUAUUUCAACAAUUACAGUUUUGUGUGUGUUAUGCAUCACAACUAAUAAGAAAGUAGGGUUGGGGCUGUAAAGACUAUUGAAAAAUGUGAUAACGUAGAAAAUACUACAAUUUGGGCAAUAAGCUUUUUCACUCAGAGAUAGGGAUAUAGUAAAGCAAAAAAAAAAUGUUGCAUCACAUUGACAUUGGGCACCUGCCCAAUCUAUUCCGUGUACAAUAUAAUCAGUGUUAGGUGAAACCAUGCACUGCCUGUCAUGUAUACAUUUUCUUUUCAAAUUUAAUUCAUUUCCAUAAGUGUGAAAUUACUUUUAUGUUAGUUAAUGGGAAUUUUAAAUUUGUUGUACUCACAAAACAGUAUCGUGCCUCUUGGGACAUUUGUCAUUAUUGAGUUUACAGAGGAAGGCCGUGUUGACCAUACUAUGCUGAAGACUUUAUUAUUUUAGGAUGGUUGUACCAGCACCACCAUUACCAGACCCACUACAACCAAAAGUGGCAAACAACCCCUUAUAUCCACAGGCGAGUGCACUAACCACAAGAGUAGUGCCACCACAUUAUGAGCAUCUCAAUGACCAACAUGUUAAUUCUAUACAAGGAAAACAAGAGGAGCCUUAGAAGGCAGCAUCCAGUAAGUGUCUAACGAAGGGAUAGAAAUAAAAUUGAUGCUGCAGGAAGCAAAAGAUAUACUGGUUCAUUUGACGGAACUGGUAACUAAAGACAAGCCUGCUCCAGCAAGGGAUACUCAUCUGUUGCCAGAAGAUUUAAUCCUUCCAGUUAGAACACAGCAGGAGCUGUUAGAGCUGGAAUGAUGAUGACUCCUUUCAUGAAUUACUCAUCAAAAGCCUCUCUUUUGUGUGUGUGGUACAGACGCAAAGGAUUGUGUGAAAAGAAUCGUGUGGCAAAUCCUGAUCGACAAGGUUGCUAGGAAUUAUAACUGAACAGGUAAAAAGGGAGAGAAGCGUGCUUUCAAGGGACUUAAAGAUGCAGACCAUGAUCUGCAGUAAGUGAUGUAUAAAUAUUAGUUUAUAUUAUUAGACUAUAGCUAUAUGAUAUAUUUUAUAUACAUAUUUUAACCCAAAAGAGGUACUGAUAUAAGUGCUCAUUUUUGUGUAAUAUAUGUUGACAUAUUUCAUUGCUAACUCCACCAACAUUUUCUUUAACUCCUUAUUGUAAAUUGUCACCAUUUGUUGUACAUAUGAUUGAUUGUUAUUGUGUAAUAUAGUUGCAGUGCUGAAAUAUGUUUUAAUAAAAAGGAAAGUUUUAA